AACAUCCUGCCAUGUGAUGUUAUGGGAAUAACAGUCAGACUGGCUAUCAGGGAGGAAGUUGUUUCUGUAACGGCUGUAAGCCCAGCAAACCAAAACAGAUAUCUUUCAAGGAAUGUUUCAGGAAGUUAAGCUAUAGCCUAGGCUGCUAGUCUGUGCGGGUGGGGACGAUAGGCCUGUGGGCGUAUGAUAAGGAAUCGGAUAAUUAAGUAAUUGCAUUUACCAUAUUUCCAACUAGCCCAUUAUGAGGGCUGGGGAGAGGCACUCUGGAUUGGAUAUUUCCUGUGUCUUAUUUUUGAAGUGGCUCCGUACAGCUCGGCGGUUUGGCAUGCGUAGACAGCAUCAGCGGGCAUUACGUCACUUCACGGUAAAUUCUCUAGCCCUCCGCAUGGUACAGUAAAAUAUUGUUGGCAUCAACAAUAACAAACACGAGGCUGCCGUAGAGAACUGGGAUGUGUUAGCUGUAGAGGCACGGAUCCCUGGUCCCCCACUCACCGCCAGCAGAUGGAGCGUGAGUCUUAACCCCCUACUUCCACGUGACUUGGUUGGUUCGUCCAGACCGAGCGUCUCACUCCGCAUCAUGGCUGCGGAAGAUGCGGCCACUCGGUCCCAAACCAUCCACCUAUUCCCACGGCUACCCCUUUAUCCCGCUCGGUUGCUUCUCUUCUCCGUCUUCUACCUUUGCCUCACUCCCUCUCCGUCCUUCGCCUUACUGGGAUUCCGCCCGGAGGAGACUGGUGGAGAGCUGUCCGUGGAUGCCGGGGUCCUGAAAGCCACCGAGGGAACCCGCUUCAUGCUACGGGUCUACUAUUCCUUAUCCCAACAGAGGCUUAAUCGGACCGCCGGAGCCAGGGCCAACGCGGCUCCAUGGAUAGCAUUCAUCGAGGAGCCGAGUCCGGGGAGAGAGGGGCAGGUCCACCCGAAACGAAAUAUGUGCAUGGAUAAAAACGCCAGGACAUCCGACAUUGAGAUCUUGGGCUCUUUUAAAUCCGCUUCUAGCCAGAAUUCUGUGUUGGUGGAAGUAUUGGCAAAAGACCUACGCAGAGGAGAGAAGAUUAAGUACUAUUCGAUGUGCGCCUUCGACGGGUCCAAAUGGGAACAUUACCGGACUAAGGAUUUCUGGGUGGCUGUGGUGGAGCGAGGGGCAGAACCGGACCUCUGGCUCCAGGUGUUAGUAUCGGUUCUGUUGCUCGCACUCUCUGCACUUUUCAGCGGGCUUAACCUCAGCCUACUGGCACUGGACCCAGUGGAGCUUCAGGUCCUGCAGAACAGCGGUACGGACAAGGAGCAGAAAUACGCGCGGAAAAUCGAGUCAGUUCGACGGCAUGGAAACUACGUCCUUUGCACGUUGCUGCUGGGCAACGCGCUGAUCAAUGCGGCGCUUGCCGUGUGGAUGUGCCAGAUACUUGGGAUGACCUGGCUUUCCACGGUCAUCUGUGCGUUUGGGAUAUUUUUCAUUGGGGAAAUCCUGCCGCACUCUGUUGCGUCGCGGCACGGCUUGGCCAUCGCGUCGAAAACAAUCUGGGUAACUCGUCUUCUCAUGGUUCUCUCUUUUCCUAUCUCGUACCCGAUCAGCAAACUACUAGACUUCAUCCUUCACCAGGAGAUCAGUAACUUUUACACCAGGGAAAAACUCCUCGAGAUGUUGCGCGUGACCGACCCGUACCACGACCUGGUCAAAGAAGAGCUCAACAUCAUUCAGGGUGCGCUCGAGCUCCGGACCAAAACGGUUGAAGACGUUCUCACGCCGUUGACAGACUGCUUCAUGCUCACCUCAGAAGCGGUACUGGACUUCAACACCAUGUCGGAGAUUAUGCAGAGCGGCUACACGCGCAUCCCGGUGUUCGAGAACGAGCGGUCGAACAUUGUGGAUAUUUUGUUCGUGAAGGACCUGGCUUUUGUUGACCCAGACGACUGUACCCAUCUAAAAACCAUAACCCAGUUCUACAAACACCCCAUGCACUGCGUGUUCAACGACACGAAACUUGACGCCAUGCUGGAGGAAUUCAAAAAGGGCAAGUCCCAUCUGGCCAUCGUCCAGAGGGUAAACAACGAGGGCGAGGGUGACCCCUUCUAUGAGGUCAUGGGCAUCGUGACCCUGGAGGACGUUAUCGAAGAGAUCAUUAAGUCGGAGAUACUGGACGAGACGGAUCUCUAUACUGACAAUCGCUCUAAACGUCGCGUGUCUCACCAUGAGAGGAAGCAGCAGGACUUCUCCAUCUUUAAACUGUCUGAGAACGAGUUGAAGGUGAAGAUCUCACCACAGCUUCUCCUCGCUACGCACCGCUUCCUGUCCACAGAGGUGGAGCCCUUUAAGCCGGUCCACCUAUCAGAGAAAAUCUUACUACGCCUCAUCAAACACCCCAGUGUGGUCCAGGAGCUCAGCUACGACGAGAAGAACAAGCUUGCCCCACAACACUUCCUGAUCCAGAGAAACAAACCCGUCGACUACUUCAUCUUGGUCCUACAGGGUCGUGUUGAGGUGGAGUUCGGAAAAGAGGCCCUGAGGUUUGAGAAUGGAGCGUUUGCCUACUACGGAGUUCCUGCCAUCAUGCCCACAGUCCACAGAUCCCCCUCUCGUAGCAGUGGUCUGGACCGCUCUGAAUCUAUGCUGUGUGGGGGCAGUCUGGGCCAGCUCAAUGGAGGGGGGAGUGUCUACCUGCCUGACUACUCAGUCAGACAGCUAACUCACCUGCAGAUCAUCAAGAUCACUCGUAGCCACUACCAGAAUGCCCUGACAGCGACCAGGAUGGACAGCUCCCCCCAGACUCCCGACACAGAUGCCCGACCUACCGACGGGAAUACCCCUGACCCUCCCGUCCCGGACCACCUCCUGCCCCCCAGGGACACCCGACCCAGCUCGGCCAGAACCAGGGGACAGCAAUCCUCGCUCCCGCACAGCACCUCACUGCUCAACGAGAAGAACCGCAUCGUCCGCAGUAAGUCUGACGGCCAGAAGAGCCCCAGCGACUCGGUGUUCCUUCGGAUGGAUGAGAUCCCCUACAUCAGGGAGGACCACUCGGAGACGGACGGCGCUAAUGACACAGCCUCUGUCGCUAUAGAAACAGACGCCCCCUCCUCCAUCAUCAGUAGUCUGUCUCUGAGCGGAUCGGAGGACACGCUGGGAAAGAAACUGCUGCUCAAACUCAGUCACAAGAAGAGGAAAAAGUCCAGAGAAGGAGACAAGACCCCUGAGGACACAUCGGAGCAACCAUUGGUCAAGACCUAGCUGGGGCUCAGCCAAUCAUCAACAGACUAUCCACAGUAUAUCCUUCUUUUAUUUUACCAUUUAAAUUGUUUCUACGUUCAUCAAGUCAGCGGUUGACAAAACACAGACUGACACAGUGCCUGUAAGGACACAGAAGAGAUGGCCUCCCCUCCCCUUAAAGAUCUUAGUCGGGACUUUCGGGGGCAACAUAACAUAACCCAAUAGGCUGGAAGCUACCAUAUCGAGGAACAGGGGCAAUUUUCUUCAGGAUUGUUUUGUUUCAACUAUGGCUGUAUAGUUUUUAGCUACUAAGAGGUAAAUGGAUUUAGUCCCAGUAGAUGGGAAGAUGAGGAAUGUAGAACAAGAAGAGGAGCUUUAGUGCAUUCAGCUCCUUCCUAGUUUUUAUUUUUGAACUGGCUCGGCAGGAGCUAAACAUCUGAAAACUAAGGUCUCUAAAUGAAACCAAAGACAGACUAUUUUCAUACUGUUCACUUACUGCACCAAAACAAUUAUCAUAUUCACAAUGCUCACUUGCCCAGACCCACUCAUGGCCUUUAAAGCCUUGUUGGAAGCUGUGUCAAUUUAUAUAAGGAUUAGGAAUGUAUUUUACUUUCUAUUCCCUUCCCUGUCUGUUGUCAAAGCGGCGAGUCCCAGCUAGCAUUUUGAGGAAACAUUUCAGUUAUUUGUGCGUUUUCAGAAUUACUGAUCAAUUCACCAUUUAUUAGCAUGGGAUAAACCUAUAACAGUCUACAGGUUUAAAAAGGGAUUGAAGAUGUGCUUUGAACGUCUUUCUGAGUUGUGUUGACGAUCUUGGAUUUGGGAGACAUCCGUGCCAAACCGUUCAACGUGUCAGGGCGAGCUCGCCCUCCAGGUGACCCCGGGUAGCUUGCGCGUGAUCCGUGCCGGCCUGAGGGAGGCCAGGAAGUCCCUGCCGAUGAUGUCGUCUAAAUAGCAUCACCCACGGGGCACGAGAACCAGAUGUCGGGCGGUCAGGUUAGGGCUACGGAAGCGCCUUUGGUCACUGAGCCAGCUGACUGAUUAUGCAAGAAUUUCAUUACGGCCUAGCUGAGAUUAGUGAAACACAAAUCUGUUCUUGACGUUUUUUCCAUCUGAACGUCCUGCACCACUGCAAGCCCUGUAGGAUCAUGGGAUGCGCGCCCGUCUCUAGCUUGUUUCGUGCAGAUUCAGGUUUGUGCCACCGCACCGUGGGAGGGGGGUGAG